rnacentral:sRNA from 1 species
AUUCUGCCCAAGCGGAGAAGGAUGAGAAGCUUCGACUAAGGUUCGACUCGAGCGCCAGCGAGAGAGCGUUGCCGCA